UUAAAAGAUUGGGCAAAACAGAUUUUGAUAAUAGUGCCGAUAAACGUCUUCUGGUGGUUCUCCAGGCGAUUUUUGUAUUCAUUGGCGUAUCUUGUGAUACAGUAUGCGGGCCCGUGUCCUGAAGGAGCACCCAGGUCAGUACAUAUUUUGGGGCG